rnacentral:tRNA from 1 species
UGUGGUGUAAAUGGUUAUCGUGCUUGGCUGCUAACCAAAAUAUUAGAGGUUCAAAUCCACUCA